CAAACAUGAACAAAACAUGAAUGUUUUUAUUCCAGAGCGCCAAUCGAACUGUGUUGAUUUCAUCUUUAGAAAUUAAUUUCUUCUUCUUCUUUCUUUAGCCCACAAAUUCUUUUUUCUCUCUUUCUCUUUGUCUAGCACAUCUGAAUUUCUUUUUCUUUUUCCUUUUAGUCUUGUUUUCUCAUCAUGUUAUGAAGAUCAAAUUUCUACAAUGUUGAAAUCUGAAAAUCCCCAAUUUUAUUCAUCCCUAUUAUUAAUAACUAUGGGAGUCGAGAAGCAUUCGAUUUUCCAGCACCAACAGCUUCCCAAAUGAGGGUUCAGUUCAGCCUUCUCGCAAAUCCUCCAUUCACGAAAACGGUAUUGGGAGCAUGAGAUGAUCUGCAUGGAAGAUCUUAUUCAUGAGAUCUUGACUGAGGGACCCCGUUUUAAGGAGGCCAACAACUUUUUAUGGUUGUUCCAACUGAAAGCACCUUUGGGUGGAUUGAAGAAGAAGAAGAGGAAUCACUAUGUUGAAGGCGGUGAUGUUGGUAAUCGUACGUGAUAAUUUAAUUAAUGAGCUGAUUAGGAUGAUGAAUUAUGCUUUGGUGUUCAGAUUUUGCUUAAAUGAUUUUUGACUGUUACCAGUUCUUUAACUGGAUUUUUGCAGUUUGUUUUAGACAUGAACUUCCAAAUAUAAACAAGUUUUUAUUUGUUUUCUGAGUUAUGGAUGAUAUACUUGUAUUUAAUAUGUGAUUUUCUUGA